rnacentral:rRNA from 1 species
UCUGGAUGAGUUGCGAACGGGUGAGUAACGCGUAGGUAACCUGCCUGGUAGCGGGGGAUAACUAUUGGAAACGAUAGCUAAUACCGCAUAAGAGUAGAUGUUGCAUGACAUUUGCUUAAAAGGUGCAAUUGCACCACUACCAGAUGGACCUGCGUUGUAUUAGCUAGUUGGUGGGGUAACGGCUCACCAAGGCGACGAUACAUAGCCGACCUGAGAGGGUGAUCGGCCACACUGGGACUGAGACACGGCCCAGACUCCUACGGGAGGCAGCAGUAGGGAAUCUUCGGCAAUGGACGGAAGUCUGACCGAGCAACGCCGCGUGAGUGAAGAAGGUUUUCGGAUCGUAAAGCUCUGUUGUAAGAGAAGAACGAGUGUGAGAGUGGAAAGUUCACACUGUGACGGUAUCUUACCAGAAAGGGACGGCUAACUACGUGCCAGCAGCCGCGGUAAUACGUAGGUCCCGAGCGUUGUCCGGAUUUAUUGGGCGUAAAGCGAGCGCAGGCGGUUAGAUAAGUCUGAAGUUAAAGGCUGUGGCUUAACCAUAGUACGCUUUGGAAACUGUUUAACUUGAGUGCAAGAGGGGAGAGUGGAAUUCCAUGUGUAGCGGUGAAAUGCGUAGAUAUAUGGAGGAACACCGGUGGCGAAAGCGGCUCUC